AUAUAUACAUACAUACACACACGUGUGUGUGUGUGUGUGUGUGUGUGUAU
rnacentral:miRNA from 1 species